rnacentral:rRNA from 1 species
AGCGAACGCUGGCGGCAGGCCUAAUACAUGCAAGUCGAGCGGGUGUAGCAAUACACCAGCGGCAGACGGGAGAGUAACACGUGGGAACGUGCCCUUCAGUUCGGAACAACCCAGGGAAACUUGGGCUAAUACCGGAUACGUCCGUAAGGAGAAAGAUUUAUCGCUGAAGGAUCGGCCCGCGUCUGAUUAGCUUGUUGGUGAGGUAAUGGCUCACCAAGGCGACGAUCAGUAGCUGGUCUGAGAGGAUGAUCAGCCUCACUGGGACUGAGACACGGCCCAGACUCCUACGGGAGGCAGCAGUAGGGAAUAUUGGACAAUGGGCGCAAGCCUGAUCCAGCCAUGCCGCGUGGGUGAUGAAGGCCCUAGGGUUGUAAAGCCCUUUCGGCGGGGAAGAUAAUGACGGUACCCGCAGAAGAAGCCCCGGCUAACUUCGUGCCAGCAGCCGCAGUAAUAC